rnacentral:rRNA from 1 species
GAUGAACGCUGGCGGCGUGCCUAAUACAUGCAAGUCGAGCGAACGGACGAGAAGCUUGCUUCUCUGAUGUUAGCGGCGGACGGGUGAGUAACACGUGGAUAACCUACCUAUAAGACUGGGAUAACUUCGGGAAACCGGAACUAAUACCGGAUGAUAUUUUGAACCGCAUGGUUCAAAAGUGAAAGACGGUCUUGCUGUCACUUAUAGAUGGAUCCGCGCUGCAUUAGCUAGUUGGUAAGGUAACGGCUUACCAAGGCAACGAUGCAUAGCCGACCUGAGAGGGUGAUCGGCCACACUGGAACUGAGACACGGUCCAGACUCCUACGGGAGGCAGCAGUAGGGAAUCUUCCGCAAUGGGCGAAAGCCUGACGGAGCAACGCCGCGUGAGUGAUGAAGGUCUUCGGAUCGUAAAACUCUGUUAUUAGGGAAGAACAUAUGCGUAAGUAACUGUGCACAUCUUGACGGUACCUAAUCAGAAAGCCACGGCUAACUACGUG